UAUUUCUAGGCAAAACAAAGCGCUAGCGAAAGAGGAGCGAAAGCACACGGAGAACAUCAGCUAUGGCUCAUACUUGCUGUGUGAUCGGUUGUAACGUUAGAUCGCGCGACCGGAAAGGGAACAAGCCUGAAAAUGGUUUAUCUUUUCAUUCUUUCCCCACCUGGAAGCAACAUGAGGGAGCUCGUGUUGCGGAUGUAACCAAAAGACAGCGUCUAGCCUGGAUAGCAGCUGUGAAAAGACCUGAUAUCAAGUUCUCUUCCAUCUCCAAACAUCUGUUGGUGUGCUCGAGACAUUUUCAUUCCGGUAAACCAGCCUAUGUAAUGGAUGAGACAAAUCCUGACUGGGUUCCAGUGCUGCAUAUGGGGCACUCCGGAAUCCUAACAUCUAAUUCUGACCGUCGCAGGCGGCGACAGAAACAAAGAUCGCCAGUCCGAGAGGUAGUAGAGUGUGAAGGUGAGGCCUGUGCAGAAGUUACACAUGAAGAGCAGCCCGAGUUGGACACGACAGAAGACCAACACCAUGAUCACCUUGCCAAGGAGGCUGCGGGCCAGAGUUGUGUUGGACAAGUGGAGGCCGAGUUAGCAGCUGCAAAUGUAGAAAAUCUUGAUCUGACAGUAAGACACACAGAAGCUACAAGACAGACAAAGGAUUGUGUGUGCUGUGAACAGAGCAGAGCAGAAGUAAACCGGCUGUUGGAGGAGAACAGGAAGCUUCAAUCACAACUGAAAAAGACAGAGCUGAAUGAAAAUUUUUUAAAGGAUGACACGGAAAAAGUAAGAUAUUACACUGGACUACCUUGUUUUGUAAUUUUACUGGCCGUGUUCAACAAUGUAAAAGCUUUCCUGCCAGCGUCACAGAAACUGACACAUUUCCAAAUGCUGUUACUCACACUCAUGCGUCUCAGACUUGAUCUUCCUGUCCAGCAUCUUUGUCAUCUAUUCAACAUUUCCCACAAAACUCUGUCUUCUGUCUUUACCGAUACCAUUGAUGUUUUGUAUGCCCGCUUAGGAGCCCUGGUGCACUGGCCAGAGAGGCACUGUUUACAGGCCACAAUGCCCCCUCAAUUUAUUGAAACUUUUGGAAAACGGGUAGCCAUCAUUGUAGAUUGUUUUGAAAUUCGUAUAGAAAGACCAUCAAAUUUAAAGGCACGUGCACAAACAUACUCUCACUGUAAGGGUACACACACCAUGAAAUACCUCAUUGGGAUUACACCUCUAGGUGCAAUUUCAUUCAUUUCCAAGGGGUGGGGGGGAUGUAGUUUUGGCUGACAGAGGCUUUGACAUCACAGAUGCUGUGGGAACGAUGUGUGCAGAGGUUAAGACUCCUGCAUUUACAAAGGGCUUCUGUCAACUCGAUGCCAGGGACAUAGAAGAUACGAGAGCUACUGCCCACCUAAGAAUCCAUGUUGAGCGAGUAAUGGGUAUUUUGCGCAAUAAGUUCAAAAUGCUACAUACCACCAUGCCAAUCGAUCUACUUCUUCCAUGUGAGGGUGAAGAUUUGACCCUUCUUGAUAAAAUAGUGAAGGUUUGCUGUGUUUUGGUGAACAUGUGGCCCAGUGUGGUUGUAAAACCAGAGACAACUGAAACUUGCUCUUGUUAAAUAUUCGUAAACAACGUGUGCUUUGUGUUGUGAUUAUUUCUCUUAAGACAUAGUAAUUUCAAGACAGUUGGUAGUGGGUUAUGUUAUAAAAACGUUGUCAUUACAUUAUGUAGUCAUUAUUGUAUUUGUAAACUGUAACUGACACUUACUCUUCACUCUAACUACUUUGAUCGCCUUUGAAGUUGUUGUAAUAAAAGUAAUGAAAG